rnacentral:rRNA from 1 species
UACGUAGGGGGCUAGCGUUGUCCGGAAUCAUUGGGCGUAAAGAGCGUGUAGGCGGCCAGGUAGGUCUGCUGUGAAAACUCGAGGCUUAACCUCGAGCUGUCGGCGGAAACCAUCUGGCUAGAGUCCGGAAGAGGAGAAUGGAAUUCCCGGUGUAGUGGUGAAAUGCGUAGAGAUCGGGAGGAACACCUGUGGCGAAGGCGGCCCCCUGGGCCGCACCUGACGCUGAGACGCGAAGGCGUGGGGAGCGAACGGG